AUUAGAGUGUAGAUCUUGCUUUUCAAUUUUUUUUGCAUAAUUGCAAAUGAUUAUAUUCCAAUGAGGCAAUCCACACCGCAAGUCAUGGGAAACAUCAGUGCUUCUCUUCAUUAACUUGUUGGAGUGAAAACUAUGACUACUUAGGAAAAGCUCAAACUCUCCUCCUACCCUGGACACGUGAAAUAUACAUAGCUAUCUGUCGAAUCAUUUCUUCUGAAAAGAGCCUAAAAACUGGUGGAGCGACCCCUUCGUGAGAGGGAAACCUCAUGUAAUUAAGAAGGAAAGGAAGAGGCAGAAUCUGCUCACAUACCUCACACCAGGGUGCUGUGACCCCCAAAUCAGGAGGGAGCUCGAAACCUGAAGCUUCUUGAUGAGGAGAAGUUGGGUGUCUGACAGAAACAACUUCAAAUAUUAAGACCUGCACCUGGAGACUUCCCUGGUGGUACAGUGGUGGAGAAUCCACCUGCCAGUGCCAGGAACACGAGGUUGGUCCCUGCUUCAGGAAGAUUCCACAAGCCACAAGGCAACUAGGACCGUGCACCACAGAUACUGAGCCUGGGCCCUAGAGCCCGUGCUCGACCACAAGAGCAGCCACCAAGGAAAAGCCUGCACACUGCAACUAGAAAGCCCAUGCCCAGCAACCAAGACCCUGUGUAGCCAAAAAUAAUUUUUUAAACUAUAUGUAAAAAAUAAAAUU
rnacentral:lncRNA from 1 species